CGCUGUUGCAAAAACUAUUGUCCCGGGGGGGGACUUUAAAAGCUUUUGAAAUCGUUUUAUUGCCCCUUACUUUGACGAUUGGUUUCAUAGGUUAUAAGUUAGAAGGCCUCAUUUCUCAGGAAAAGGACUUGGACUCUAGGAAAUCUGUGAUUGAAACAAGAGAAGAGAAAGAGUAUCAUAAACUUACUUCAAAGUAGAACAUAUCUUAUUAAAGGGUUGUAAAAGUUUGAGCCCCUCUUCAGUCGCUAAAACAUCCCAAUCCAAAUUUUAUAAUUUUUUUAACUAGCUGUCUUUAUGUACGCCCCACUUUGAACACUAUUAUGAGUAAUUAUUAAUAUUAUUUUCUAGUAGUUAUUUUGUAUUCGUCGACAAAUAAAGUUUGCUGUCAUAUAAUUCAUUGAA